CUGAAACAUCUAAGAAGGGAGUCUGC
rnacentral:piRNA from 1 species